rnacentral:rRNA from 1 species
GACGAACGCUGGCGGCGUGCCUAAUACAUGCAAGUCGAACGCUUCUUUCCUCCCGAGUGCUUGCACUCAAUUGGAAAGAGGAGUGGCGGACGGGUGAGUAACACGUGGGUAACCUACCCAUCAGAGGGGGAUAACACUUGGAAACAGGUGCUAAUACCGCAUAACAGUUUAUGCCGCAUGGCAUAAGAGUGAAAGGCGCUUUCGGGUGUCGCUGAUGGAUGGACCCGCGGUGCAUUAGCUAGUUGGUGAGGUAACGGCUCACCAAGGCCACGAUGCAUAGCCGACCUGAGAGGGUGAUCGGCCACACUGGGACUGAGACACGGCCCAGACUCCUACGGGAGGCAGCAGUAGGGAAUCUUCGGCAAAGGACGAAAGUCUGACCGAGCAACGCCGCGUGAGUGAAGAAGGUUUUCGGAUCGUAAAACUCUGUUGUUAGAGAAGAACAAGGACGUUAGUAACUGAACGUCCCCUGACGGUAUCUAACCAGAAAGACACGGCUAACUACGUG